rnacentral:rRNA from 1 species
UACGUAGGGGGCGAGCGUUGUCCGAAGUUACUGGGCGUAAAGCGCGCGUAGGUGGUCCUCUAAGUCCGAGGUGAAAGGUUCGGCGCUCAACGUGAACAGUGCCUUGGAGACUGGAGGCCUCGAGGCGGGUAGGGGCACGCGGAACUGUGGGUGGAGCGGUGAAAUGCGUUGAUAUCCACAGGAACUCCGGUGGCGAAGGCGGCGUGCUGGACCCGAUCUGACGCUGAGGCGCGAAAGCCAGGGGAGCAAACGGG